AGAGUUUGAUCAUGGCUCAGGACGAACGCUGGCGGCGUGCUUAACACAUGCAAGUCGAACGGUGAAGGGGAGCUUGCUCCCCGGAUCAGUGGCGAACGGGUGAGUAACACGUGGGCAACCUGCCCCAGACUUCGGGAUAACGCUUCGAAAGAGGUGCUAAUACCGGAUACGAACUCCUUGGGCAUCCCGGGAGUUGGAAAGUUUUUCGGUCUGGGAUGGGCCCGCGGCCUAUCAGCUUGUUGGUGAGGUAACGGCUCACCAAGGCGACGACGGGUAGCCGGCCUGAGAGGGCGACCGGCCACACUGGGACUGAGACACGGCCCAGACUCCUACGGGAGGCAGCAGUGGGGAAUAUUGCGCAAUGGGCGAAAGCCUGACGCAGCAACGCCGCGUGAGGGACGACGGCCUUCGGGUUGUAAACCUCUUUCAGCAGGGAAGAAGCGAAAGUGACGGUACCUGCAGAAGAAGCACCGGCUAACUACGUG
rnacentral:rRNA from 1 species